rnacentral:rRNA from 1 species
GACGAACGCUGGCGGCGUGCUUAACACAUGCAAGUCGAACGCUGAAGCUCAGCUUUUGUUGGGUGGAUGAGUGGCGAACGGGUGAGUAACACGUGAGUAACCUGCCCCCUUCUUUGGGAUAACGCCCGGAAACGGGUGCUAAUACUGGAUAUUCACUGGUCUUCGCAUGGGGGUUGGUGGAAAGGGUUUUUCUGGUGGGGAAUGGGCUCGCGGCCUAUCAGCUUGUUGGUGGGGUGAUGGCCUACCAAGGCUUUGACGGGUAGCCGGCCUGAGAGGGUGACCGGUCACAUUGGGACUGAGAUACGGCCCAGACUCCGACGGGAGGCAGCAGUGGGGAAUAUUGCACAAUGGGCGCAAGCCUGAUGCAGCGACGCCGCGUGAGGGAUGGAGGCCUUCGGGUUGUGAACCUCUUUCGCUCAUGGUCAAGCCGCAACAAUGGUUGUGGUGAGGGUAGUGGGUAAAGAAGCGCCGGCUAACUACGUG